GCCCUAACGCCGCCACCACUCCCCACUACCUCCGCGGGCGAUGCCACAUCCAAUCACUCCCAAAAUAACACCUCGUGACCACCACGACCCCAUCAUACUGAAUCCACAACUUAUUCCCUCAAAUAUUCCUCAAACUCCUCGAACCUUAAAUCCAAAUUCGAACUCUAGAAGCCAAAUCCAAACCCAGGCAUGCAAGAUGAUUUCUCAAGUCCUCAUGAGUUUUUAGAGCCGGUUUGUCACGAAAUAGUGUUGUUCGCUUCUUCUUGACAAAGAACAACUGAUUGACAUUUUUUUGGAAUGAAGUCGGAGUGUCAAGUCUUGCGUUUGAGCUUUGUGUGGUGAGUUCUUUCUGUAUUUUGAUUCAUUUUGUUAUUUCGACUUUCUUUCUUCUUCUUUUCUUCUAUUUUCUUGUACAACUCAGAUCAAACUUGACUCAAGUCUUAGCUGAAAUCGAUAACUGUCUGCUUGUUCUUCUUAAGUAUGUUCUCCAGUCCUGCUUGUUUUGUUUAGUUCCUUUUGCUAAUGGCAUGGUUACUGUUCUCCUUUCAUCUCCCAUUUAAUAACCUAGUUAAGUUAAUUAGGCCCAUAACUUAGUUAAUUUCCUGCUAUGUAGUUAAUUUAAUUAGCUCAUUCCCUUUUGUCUUUGUUUUGAAUGCAUUUUAACAAAUAUUUUUGGGUUUCUUCUUUUAGGAAAUCUUGGUAAGUUCUUAAAAUUAUAAAUAUGUGGUUAAUCUAAAUGGGGCUCUGAAAAAAUCAAAAUCCCCAGAGGGGAAUUAAUUAGGGAUUACAGAUAUAUGAGGCUCUUAAUUUAGUCAAUUUUGACCCAUCUGGUCUAGUUUCUUUGGGUAAUUUACAGGGCUUAAAGGGGUAAUUUAGGAAUUCUGGUUUAGGAAAUCUUUGAAAACUAAUUGAGGAAGCUUCUAAGAAGCUGGGGUGGGGGACUAAAUUGAAGUUUUGAAAAUUAAACUAAGGGUACCAAAGCUAAAAUGAAAAUAUUAGAAGGACUACAGUGAAAAAAUAGUUGCAUUUCUGCAGCCCUAAUGCCUUGCCUAUAAAGGCACCUUUGCUUGACAUUUAAGUAAGAAAUUGAGAGAUAAAAAUCUAGAAAAAACUGAAACGGCUAAAAAAAAGAUAUGGAGGGAGUGUGAAUAAUCAAACAUACAAACAAAAAUCAGAAAACCACUGUUACAUAGAGGUUUUUCAAGUUUUUUAAGUAAAUAUGAGGUCCAUACUGGGUUUGAAAUGGUUUGAAGAAGCUAGAUUUGCCAUUGUUGAGCUGCUGAGAUACAUUUUCUUCUACUGUUGAUCUUCUUGCCCUUGCUUUUGCUCAAAUUAUAUUAGGUAUGCCCUAGAAACUGUGAUGGAACUGAAGCUUGACUGAAUCUAUGUAAAGAUCUGUAAACUUGAGUUGGAAUUAUGUCACGACCCAAACCCCGCACUGGUCGUGAAGGCGCCUCUCGUGAAGAUGAGGCUAGCCAACUAACCCAACUCGUCUUUUCAAAAAUAAUUAAUCAUCUCAAAUAUGACUUAACAAUAUUAAUUAAUGGAAAUCCAACCCAACAAAGCCCUAAUCGAGGUGUCACAAGUCACGAGCAUCUAUCAGGAUAUAAGUCCACUACAAGGUCAAAAUAUACAAAACCAGAAUAAUGAAUAAAAGAAGGAAACAUGAUGCUGCGAACGCUGACAGUCACCUCCAUAACUGAUAUAACUCCUCCUCUGAUCGGCCAAAACCCACUUUCGGGUGAAUAGAUACCUACAUCUGCACACGAGGUGCAGGGAGUAAAGUGAGUACUGCCACUCAGUAAGUAAUAAAGGUAAAUAACAACAGAGCAGUAAGAAAUAACGUAUGGCAAACCAUCACGCUGUAUAGAAGCAGGGUACAAUCCUUUGAGGAAACAGUGAACCUAUGAAAUCAAUGGAAAUAUCUUUGCUCGGUUUAAAUCUCUUUUGAUUCAACAAUUACGAAAUGAUUUAAAAACAGUUAGUGCCGAUAAGCACAGAAGAUCUGCUCCUCGAGCACAAAUACCACAGUAUUAUAGGUAAAAAGGCAAGUAAAUAUGAAAGAUGAGCACAUAAAAUUUCACCCCUGGGCAAUAUCUAAAAACAAUACCCGCCCCUCGGGCACAAUAUCUAUCGCUCAGAACAAUUUCAGCCCCUCGGGCUCAGUAUUAGUUAUUCAACAUAGCAUCAGCCCCUCGGGCUCACUCUCAGAUCAUAUGGGUGCCCACGCUCACUGGGGGUGUGUAGACUCUAGAGGGACCCCAUACGGCCCAAACGCAUCAACAUAAGGCCUAAAAACUUUAUCACAUCUCUCAUAAGGCCUGAAAUCCUCCUUACAUCACUCGCAGGGCUUGAAAGCCUCCUCAACGGAAUUUUACAAGUCCAAAAUGCAACACAACAAGGGGGUCGUUAGACCGUAGCUUGCGCGAAGGAAGAAGCUAAUCAAUCAGAAUUGAGACAGGGAGGAGAGGCGAAAGAGAGAUUUUCGAGCCUGCAAGCAGCAAGCAACAACGGCUUUUCAGCCGUUGCGCGCUAGCUUGUAGUUUAGGGGUAUAGUAGGGGUGCCCCUUUCUCAAACUUUUCUAUAAUAUAAGGUAAGCUUUUUGGAACCCUAGUUUUGGAGUUUUCCCCAACCAACCUAUACCUUACUAAUAAAAAGGGGCUUCCCUUUUUCAGCUGCAUUGCACUGCCGCAUAAACAAUGGAUCCGCUGGGCUGGAUGAGCAACCUUCUAUCUGGCCUCUGUACCAAUAGUAGAGUGGCUUGCUACUUUCAAUCAGAAAAGGAAGAUUGAGCAAGGCAAAGGAGAAAGAAGUUGUCCCCUCUUCUCUGCCGCCGCCGCAUAUGUAGAAAAAGAAGGAGCGGAGAAGGAAGAACAACCGUUUGACUUUGGCACAUAUUGGUCAGGUAAAGGCCCGGGUACAUAUUCACCGCGGCAUGCUGAUCCGCGAUUAUCUCAUAUGGCCAGAAAGCCUCCUCGCAUCUCUCACAAGGCCUCAAGCCUCCUCAUAUCUAUCACAAGGCCUGAAAGCCACCUCAUAUCUCUCACAAGGCCUGAAAGCCUCCUCACAUCUCUCACAAGGACGGAAAGCCUCCUCACAUCUCUCACAAGGCCUGAAAGCCACGUCACGUCUCUCACAAGGCCUACAAGCCUCCUCACAUCACUCAAGCCACCUCGUGGCAUAUAAAUGUAUCUCAGUCCCUCAGCCUCACUCAAUCCAGAAAACAUAAUAAGCCCCUCGGGCAUCAAUAAAAUAGUAGCGCUUAGCCCAAACAGCAGUGCAAAUAUCAUUUAAGUCUCAAAAUUCAAUUAAGCAGCUAAAUUUUUAAAACAGUAUAAUUAUUAGGACUAAGUUCAAGUAAUGUAUCAAAAUAGUGAGGAAACAGUGAUAAAAGUCCAUGAAUGAUUCAUGUAAAUAUUGCAAUAAGCCCAAAUUGUGAUGAUAAUAAACACAUCUUAGUCAAAUAUGCGGUAAAUUAUCGAACGGACGUACCAAGUCACAAUCCCCAGUAUUAAUAACCUCACGCUCGCUAUUAAGCGCGUGUUUCACCUCAAUAUAGCACUACGUUGUGCAAAUCCGAGGUUUCAAACCCUCAGGAUAUCAUUACACUCAUUACUCACCUCGAAUUGGUGAAACGUCUAGCUUGCGAUACCUUUUCCCCUCAAAUCGGCCUCAACGUGUGUCGAAUCUAUCCAAAAACAAAGCGAUUACAUCACAAUAUGCUAAGGGAACAAAGCCCAAACAAAAAUAGACCAUGAGGAGCACAAAUCCGGAAAUUAACAAAACCUAAUCCCCAGGCCCACUUCUCGAAAUCCAGAAAUUUUCAAAUCAACGGGUUCCUUAUCUCUCCACGAGUCUAUACAUAUAAAGAACACUAAAAUCGGAGUCCAAAUGACCCCUCAAAUCCCAAUUUGAAAUAUCAAAACUAAAGCCCUAGUUCUUCCUCUUUUUUUUAAGUAUUCAUAAAUUUUCAGGUUUAUCCCACAAUUAAAUCAUGCUUUUAGUUCAUAGAACUUACCUCCAAUCAAUCCUCUUCGAAACCCUCUUCAAUUCCCGUCAAAAAGCUCUCAAAGAUGCCCAACAAUGGGGAAAAAAAACUUAGACUCGCGGAGAAAAUGUUUUUAAAAACCAUUCUGCCCAGGUGACUUUUACUCUAUGCGAACACGAGGGUUUUCCAGCAUUCGCGAUGAACAAUACUUGCCUCUGACCAAAAUACCCUUCUCGAACGCUGUACCCCGAUUGCGAAUGCGAUGCUUUAACUGAUACCAUUAUGCGAAUGUGAACCUUAGGCCGUGAACGCAAAGAACAAUUCAUACGGAGCCUCAUCGUCCAAGAGCUCUCAAGAUGCUCAACAAUGGUGGAAAAUAACUUAGCCUCGCGGAACAAAAAUGUUUUAAAAACCCUCCCGCCCAGCUGACUAUUUCAUCUGUGCGAACACGAGGGCUUUCUCGCAUUCGCGAUGCACAAAAUUCCACUGACCAAUUUUACCCUUCGCGAAUGCAAUGCUUGCCCGCAAACGCGAUACUUUAACUGAUACAACUAUGUGAGUGUGAGCCUUAUGUCGCGAACGCGAAGAAAAAAUAAUAACGGGCCUCAAAUUCUUCUAUGCGAACGCAAAUAUCAUCACACGAACACGAUUCACGCUCUCAGGACCUUUCACGAACAAUGACCUUCCUUCACGAACGCGAAGGCCAAAUCUGGCAUGUACUUGCUGCUGCAUUUUCUGCAAUAUUUUCCAACUCUAUACUCCUCGUUAGCCAUUCAAAAUCACCAACACAUCCUAAAACAUCAUCCAAACUCGUUCCAAUCAUCAAAAGACCUCAAACAAUACUAAAACCAUCAACUCUCGUCGAAUUGAAGCCUAAGUUCUUCAAAAAAUUCCGAAAUACUCUUUCGAUCAAAAACUCAACCAAAUGACAUCCGAAUGAUCUGAAAUUAUUCACACACAUCCCAGAUCACAUAAUAAGCUACAACAACUCUCAGAAUUCCAUUCUGACCCUCGGAUCAAAAUCUCACCUAUCAACCAGAAUUCGCCAAAACACUAACUUUGCCAACUCACGCCAAAUCCUUCCACGAACUUCCAAAAUGCCUUCCGAUCAAGCUCCUAAGUCAUAAAUUACUUAACGGAGCUAGCCAAAUCAUCAAAUUUCCAAUCCGAGCUUAUAUAUAAAUAAGUCAACUCUCGCUCAAACCUUUCAAAUACAAAGCUUUUAACUGAAACUGUUCUUUCAAAUUCAUUCCAAAUUUCCCUAAAACCAAAACCAACAAUCUACAUUCGUCAUAAUACCUAACAUGCAGAAAGUCAUGCCUGAGAACUUGCGAUCAAAGUGAAAAGCUCAAAAUGACUGGUCGGGUCGUUACAUCCUCCCCCACUUAAACACGCGUUCGUCCUCGAACGUACGUGGAGCUAUUCUAAAAGCCAACCAAACGCUGAAUAACCUCACCAUGUAUAUACUCUGGGGUGAUCCCAUGUCACCCUAUCUCAUAUACGUUCGAUAACACAAUAUAACUGAAAUUUGACAAUACAUCCUAAUCCAUAAAUCACAUACCUACAUUUCCACCACCGAAAUCAUCCACAAGAAUAAAAAUCUUAUAUUCAUACUCUGAAUAAACCCAAAUGGCUGUAAUAACCCAUAUGUUUAACCUCGGAGCCAUUACAUGAUAAACCACAUAACUCUAACGGUCGUAGCAAUAACUUCUAUUCACCACAGCUGUUCACAACACCUAAAUACUGGUAGAAAAACUCUUGUCAGCAAAAGUCUCGUUCCAACACGGUCAUUAACAGCCAAUGAUAAAUGAAACACGCAAUAAAUCAUAACCAUUCUUGAAGCCACUUUUCCUAUGACAAAUACCAUAGCAAACUUCCGAGCCGAACCUCGAUAUUAACCUGCCAACAUGCUGAAAUCGAAUCUGUUCGUAUUCAUUAAUGAUCCUAACAAUAUCCUCUAAUCCAAUACACCACUCUGGCGGCAUAACACCUCAAUAGAGGCAUAAGCCAUAGUUAGCAUAAUACCCUACCAAUAAGCAACAGCCUGAACAUACUCAAAUCAUGGAAAUGACUCAAAUGAAAGAGUUGUACCUCACGCUCACAAGCACCACCACCACAACACAGGGCUGAGAACAAGUCUCACAUCAUAAAAUGGAAUACACAAAUUUAACUCGCAAGGUCAUAUCUCCACAUAACCUCGCUACAGUGCACGAUGCUAUCCAAACACCUCUCCAUAUGAGACACCUCGAGUCACUAUGCUCAAAAUUGGCAACCACAUACAAUUUGAUGUCUGAACCAAAGAAAAUCAUUCCACCCGUGGUGAAACAAGUAACAUAUACCACACAAACCAAAGGACAUAGCCGAUACGCCAUUCACCGAGCAAUACCCAAUUACUCUUCCGCUCGACUUCCACUAAGAACCCCAACAGAACCGCGCCGUAUGUGCCUAUAACCAACAAAUAAUAACAUCUCACAACAUGGAUAGGUAACUCAUAGAUAUCGCCAGAUCACUGAUAAGCUCAACAACGGUCGAAUCAAUAACUCCCACAACAAUGCCAUUCGGAGCCAGCCCAACCAACUCAAGAUAAAACACUCACCCACAUUGGCCUACCAACAAACUCCUUAUCGAGGAAGCCUGAAGAUGCUCCUUCUACCACUACAACUCUACCGAUGCUAUACGGUACGAUACAAGGCACCAAAUCCACACGAAAAUCCAUAACCUUGCCCAGCGACAUGCCCAGCCACAAGAAACAUCCAUGAGAAGUCACUCACCGCCGGAACGGAAUAAAUAUGAGGAGCCUCAGCAUUGACUCUCAUCACAAGAGUCCCAAUAAGAAGGCAAUCCUUCCCAUCCGAUCGUUGGUCCUUCAAAGCAUAACCCACUCUACUAGAACAUACUCUGACGCACUUCGCCAAUCAAUCUGUGGCAUUCCAUCAUAGCCCAUAAUGCAAUAGUCCAAGAUAUACUAACGCUGAGACGAUCCGUCUAAAUCUUCAACAUCACAUCCAAAAAUCUAACAUACCAAGCAAGGAAAGAUCCACGUAGGCCUCCAAAUCUCAGUAGUCAUUAAAAAGUGCUGAUACACGUGAUCCAUAACCAUAACAUAGCCUGAACAUGAGAACUCCCAAUCUCCAACUCCAUAUGGCACACGAAUAAUCGUGCCUAAUCCCAAUUUCUCCGUCCGAACAUAUACAACACCUUAAAUACUAUAUCACUCCACGAUAAAUACUCUAAAAAAAUUCAUGUGCCACCAAGCAAACCCGAAUAUCACCAGUUGAUCUAACAGGAAAAUGCCGCAAUAUUGCUAAAGUGCCACCAACUUAAUCACAUUACCCUUUUCUAAAUUGUAUACUCUCGUCAAAUCACCUUCGAAUGGCAGUACCAUUUUCCUUGAUUAUCUUAGGCUACCUGCUGGCUAAGUGUUUUAUGAACUUCCUUUCUGAAUUGAACUGUAACCUAACACAUGCAAGUCUCGGUCAUCUACAACAUGCCGCAUAUACCAUACCAUACGAGGAUAACAUGAAAACUUUAUCUCCCUUCCGAGCCACAGACAUCUACGCACUCAACUAGUCAAGAAUUUUCCAUUAGUCCUAUCUAGAACAAAAAUCACUAUACAUCCUAUGCUCCACAUGCCCAUAAAAUAUAUACAUCUCCAAACCACGGUAAAACCCAACAAGAACUCUCCCAAUUCCAUUUGCACAAACUAAACUGCCAGGAUUGAAUCCUUCUAACUAGACAAGCUAAGCAAGCCGUCAGAACCCAAGAGCAUUAUUGAAAAAAACUUGUACGGACUCAUUACCUCGAACACAUACAAGGAAUUAAUCAUAUCCUUACCAUACAGGUUCAGUCUACUAUCAAGAUACUCCAUCUAUCAAAAUUUCCUUCUGAUUCAUCUCAAACUUGAUAUUUCUCCUUGUUGUAGCACCACAAUUCCUCAACCCAGGCUUACCACACGAAACCUAAGCCGCUGAAUACUCUCUCAAAUACUCCCAGAAGCACCAUAUUCCAGAAUACUUUUCUCUGAAGAACUUCCCGUGAAUCAAAAUACGUUACCUUUACUUUCCUGACACUGAUAUAUAGAAUCCCGCAAUCAACAUAGAAGUACCAAAAAUCUAGACCUCUUCCAAUAAAAAUGCAGUUUCUAACCACACGUAUAAUUUUGAAAUACCCGAUUGUUCCCUGUAAAAUCUAUAACACAUUAGAGCCAUCCUCGCAAGUCAUUCACUCUUAUUCAACUACAACUUACCUGAACUAACGAACAGAACCACCCGCGCCUCGUUGGCACUCCGAUACUGCAAAAUCAAUUCCUCAUCCCAAUAUAACCAUGUAACUUCUGCUAUACGUAUCGAGCAUUCUUUACCAAUAGCAACUCUAGACAUUUUGUGAUUCUCAUACCCUAUGAAGCAUUAUAUAACCUUUGUCAAAAUUUUUCUUUACUCUAGCCACAACUAAUUCACUCGCAUGCCCCAAAUUAAAACCAACAUAGCACCUAACCAUGCAAUCACCUGAUCAUAGCAGACUCCCCCACUUGGCUUGAAGCCAUAGAUCAAGAUACACUCAAUAACACAUAACACUUUUGCUCUAUCAAUGUCACUAUACCAUAGUGAGAUUAAGCUCAAAUCAUUUAUAAGUUUGUGAAAACACAUAUCAUCUAGUACUGUAAAUCUUCUGCAAAUCUCGUAUUCAUCCCUGGAACCGUUAAGCUCACUCUCUUAAGGGACCUGAAAUUUAGAAUUUCAACACGUACUUUUUAAUUACACAUGAGGUCUUCUAACAUACACAUAGGGAUCGUACCACUUCAGAACCCUCCACAGGAGAUAACCCACCUGCUUCGUCUCAAUAUAAUAUUUUCACAAAGUUUAGCCCACUCUCUUCGGCGACCCGAAAUUCCAAAUUUUCAACACAUACUUUUCACUUACGUAUUAGAUCUUCCAACAUACACAUAAGAUCACACCACUUCAGAACACUCCGCAGGAGAUAAACCACCUGCUUCGCCUAUAUAUAAAAUUUCUAUAUAAUUUCCACUGUCAUACACAUUACAUAGUUGCUAAGUCUUCCUGAGUCUGAACUCAUACUGUAAAAUGCAAUUUACUUCACUCCCAACUAGGAGACUUGAAAAGAUUAUUCACGCGACCAUAACUCGGAGCUACACAUCCAAUCACAAUGGAAAUUAUACACUUAAUAGUUCACAUAUUAUCCAGCAGAUAUUCCUUGACACUUCCAAGUCAUGUAGAAACAUCUCGUGGUACUAACAUAUUCAUCAUAUAGCAAUCCAUCCUUCAUUCCCACAAAUAGGGACAAUACCGAACAUAUUAGUUUAAAACUUUCUCACAUAACCAGUACCUCGGUGCUCAAGCAAUAGGCAAAGAUCCGUCCUCAAGCCCAUCAAAAUGGCCCAACAUCAACUCACAGAUAUCACGUCUCGCCCCUAAUUUAGGGAAUCACAAGCCAUCAAGGCAUAUCUGAUACUAAGCGCUCAUGGACGCAUACGAAUGUAUGGAAGGAAUUUCAAAAGUUACCUUUCAAGCUGAAUCAAGGACGCAUGAUAAAAAUUCAAGAAUGUGAAGUUUUCCUAAAGGUUCUGCUGCCUCUCGAGGAUAAACAGAGACGUCUCCGUACCGAUCCGCGAGACUCUACUAAACCUGCUCAUGACUCGUGAGACCUAUUAACCUAGGCUCUAAUACCAACUGUCUCUGCAGCCUCUCGCGGAUAAAUACAGACGUCUCUGUACCGAUCCGUGACUCUACUAAACCUGCUCAUAACUCCUAAAACCUAGUAACCUAGGCUAUGAUACCAACUUGUUACGACCCAAACCCCACACUGGCCGUGCGGGCGCCUCUCAUAAAGACAAGGCCAGCCAAUUAACCCAACUCAUCUUUUCGAAAAUAGUUAAACACAAUUAAACAACUCAAAUAUGACUUAACAAUAAUAAUUAGCAGAAAUACAAUCCAACACAGCCGUAAUCGGGGUGUCACAAGUCACGAGCAUGUAUCAGGAUGUAAGUCCACUAAAAGGUAAAAAUAUGCAAAACCGGAAUAUUGAACAAAAGAGGGAAAUAUGAUGUUGCGAACGGUGACAGACACCUCCUUAACUCAUAUAACUCUGCCUCUGAUCGGCCAAAACCCGUUUCCGGGUGAAUAGAUACAUGCAUCUGCACACAAGGAGCAGGGAGUAAAGUGAAUACUCCAACUUAGUAAGUAAUCAAGGUAAAUAACAACUAAGAAGUAAGAAAUCGCGUAAAGCAAACAAUCAUGAUGUAUAGAAGCAGGGUACAAUCCUUUGAGAAAAUAGUGAAGCUGUGAAAUCAUUGGAAAGAUCUUGGCUCAGUUUAAAUCUCUUUUGAAAACGAUUCUUUCACCAUUUACGAAAUUACUUCAAAAUAGUUAGUGCCAAUAAGCACAGAAAAUUUGCUUCUCGGGCAUAAAUACCACAGUAUAACAGGUAAAAAGGCAAGUAAAUAUGCAAGAUAAGCACAUAAAAUUUCGCCCCUCGGGCAAUAUAUCAAAACAAUACCCAUCCCUCGGGCUCAAUAUCAAUCGCUCAGAAUAGUAUCAGCCCCUCGGGCUCAAUAUCAGUCACUCAGCAUAGAAUUAGCCCCUCGGGCUCACUCUUAGAUUAUAUGGCCGCGCUUAUGGGUGUGCAGACUUUGAAGGGGCCCCUUAUGGCCCAAGCCUAUAUCAAUAUAAGUCCUGAAAGCCUUCUCACAUCACUCAUAAAGCCUGAAAGCCUCUGCACAUCACUCGCAUGGCCUGAAAGCCUCCUCACGUCACUCGCAGGGCCUGAAAGCCUCCUCACUUCACUUACAAGGCCUGAAAGCCUCCUCACAACUCCCACAAGGCCUAAAAGCCUCCUCAUAUAUCUCACAAAGCCUGAAAGCCUUCUCAUGUCACUCAAGCCACCUCGUGGCAUAUAAAUAUACUCAGGCACUUGGCCUCACUCAGUCCAGAAAACAUCAUAAGCCCCUCGGGCAUCAAUAAAAUAGUAGUGCUCAGCCCAAACAGCAGUGGAAAUAUCAUUUAAGUCUCGAAAUUCAAUUAAAGCGGCUGAGUUUGUAAAACAGUAUAAUUAUUAGGACUGAGUUCAAGUAAAUGUAUCAAAAUAGUGAGGAAACAGUGAUAAAAGUCCACGAAGGAUUCAAGUAGUCGACAUUAAGCCCAAAAUAUGGCAAUAGGCUUAAAUCAUCGUGAUAAUAAACACAUCUCAGUCAAAUACGCGAUAUAAUAUCAAACGGGAAUUUAGAAAAAUCUGAACUCGGUAGUGGGUGUUGAUUGCUCAGUGGCGGAGUCAUUGGAGUUAGCAAGGUAGAUUCGACGUUAGAAGCACUGCUCUUCACCCUCUUGUCUUUCUUAGAUUUUAUUUAGUAUAUUUUUAGACUCUUCGUUGUACUCAGAACAUAGUACAUGCUCGUGACUUGUGUCUGGCUUGAGUAUUUAUUCAGCACUGUUCAUUUAGACUUACAUUAUGAGAUAUUUGAUUAAUUAAAAGCUUAAAAAAAUAUUUCUUAUUAAAUACUGGUUAAUUCGAGAAUUGUGUCGGCUAACUUAGUUUUAAGAUAAGCGCCAUCACGACCGGGUUGGUUUUUGGGUCGUGACAAGUUUCUAAUGAAUUAAUAUUGAAUUAGGAUUACAUUAUAGUGCUCUCUUUCGGUAGGAGAUUUAUAUAUAUAUCCCAUGCUCCACAUGCCCAUAAAAUAUAUACAUCUCCAAACCACGGUAAAACCCAACAAGAACUCUCCCAAUUCCAUUUGCACAAACUAAACUGCCAGGAUUGAAUCCUUCUAACUAGACCAAUCUAAGCAAGCCGUUGAAACCCAAGAGUAUUGCUGCAAAAUACUUGUACGAACUCAUUACCUCGAACACACACAAAGAAUUAAUCAUAUCCAGUNNNNNNAAAACCAAUUCCUAAAUUCUUCCCAUUUUGGACUAUAAAAUUCUAAAGAAAUCUUUUUUCGUGCCAGAGAACCUGGACUAAAAUCAAUUUUUUUACUAUCUAUGUAAACCAGUUGGAAAAUUCAUGUCAGAAUCUGUAGGAUCACUUAAACGAUCUUCACCUUUAGCAAUAUUAUUAUAUAUAUAUAUAUAUAUAUAUAUAUAUAUAUAUAUUAGAAGGAAAUGCAAAUAGUAUAAUGACUCUAAAGUAGGAUAUCUUUAAUUAGUUCGGGUGGGGGUUUUAUAGUAUUCAAAGUUUACAUUUCAUUAAAAUUGUUCAAAAAUUCUAUGCAAAUAAGACCUCUUUUUGGGUGUCAUUUGACAUUUGACAUCACAAAGGAAUACGUUCUAUUGUUCCUAAUCUUUAGCGGUUAAUUAUAUUAGGACUUUAACUUCUACCUAACUCAAAAUAAGAAAGAAUUUAAUAACAUUUCAAGGUUCUAAUUAAAUAUUUAGAAAAUUAAAAUAAAAAUAGUUAUAGUUAUGUAAUAUAAUCUUAAAAUAAAAUAUUUCGUAGAAGGUAAAAUAUUAAUGAUUUUAAGGUCUUAAAUAUUAUAACUUCAUGCAUAGUCCAAAUAAGGAAGCAUUAACAAGAAUAAUUUAUUUUAUUAUUAAGGAAGUAGUUAGAUGAUUAUUUUUUAGAUCAGUUCAUUGGAUCCAUCUCUUUCAUAUGGGAAAAUUUCAUAUACAUGUUACAACCACUGAUUAUCUACUUAUAAAAAAUUAUUUAAUAUAAUUCUAAAGAGUAAUAAUUGUUAAAGAAAUUUUAAACAAAGUAAAAAUAUUAAUAUGUGUUAACUCAUAUUUAUUUCUUCCUUCCUAAUUAAAAUUGCAUCAGCUUCUAAUUAUACUAUCCUGACUCACGAUUAUAAUUAAACACUUAUAGAGAGCUAUUCAAUAUAUUUUCAUACUGAAAUUUUUUUGUUUAUAUUUUACCAUCAUAAUUAUUUACAGAUAGAAAACUAAUCAAUAUAUUUCUAAAGAGUGUAACGAUUGUUAAAGAAAUUUUAAAUAAAGAAAAAAUUUAAUAUGCAUUAACUCAACUUGCUACAUAGCAAAAGUUUGACCAACUUCUGGUCAUACUAUUGGUCCACUAUGUUUAUAUAAAUAUCGAACUAAUUCCUCAUUCCGAGAGUACUAAAACUUUUCUCGUAGAAAUAUCUUGAUACAAAAAAAAGUCGAAAAAUGAAAAUAAAUAUAAGGGGAUUCGUUUCUUUCGUGUUAUUGAUUGUCUUGGCCGUUGGAGGAAAUUUUAUUGAAGGUACUCAGAUUAUAAUUACAUGUGAUCUAGCUGUAUGUGCAAAAACAUGCCAACAAGCUUAUGGUUCAAGGCUAAUUAAAUCAUAUUGUAUACCCAUACCAUUUGGAGAUGCAAAAGUUUGUGUUUGUGAACACAACCCGCCAUUCUCAAAGGAUCACGAAAGAGUUUAUUUUCAUAGUUCGUAUAAACUUAUCAAUUAAAAGAGAGUUAAUAUACAUAAUCACCUUAUUAUUUUCUCCGUGAUAACUAGAAAUUCUUUUAUGAAAUAAAGGUUAGAUACUUCCAUCAAUAUUUGAAUCGGUAGAUAGAUGUUUUCAUAGAUCUCCUCAUUAUUUAUUGUUCUUUAGAGUAGUUUUUUCAUGUUUACUUGAUUCAUAUGUGUAGAUGAAAAAACUAAGAUUAAGGAGCUAUUUUAGUCAAUUUUUAUCAUAUAAAAAGUGAACAAACCAGCGACAAACAAACACAACAACCAAAGGAACUAUUAAACUAAAGAGACUUAUAUAGCAGAUGAAUUCUCCUAAAAUUUAUAAGGAAAUACAUUAAUAGUUAAAAGAACAUGAUCACUUGAAGAUGAUACAGGUUUGAAAAAAAAAUUAAAAGAGUCGUAUAAAGUAUUCGAGAAUACAAAAGUUCAAUGCUUAUUUCUAGAUCGAAAUGCUAGAUAGAAAGACAACAAGAGUUUAAUUAAAAUCAUCCAAUAUAUUCGAUAAUGCAAGAGUUUAUCAAUUGAGAUUGUUAAGACUUUCAACUCUUAAUCGAAUAAAUAAAACCGAAAACAUUAAAAAUGAAGAAAAAAAUCUAUUAGACCGUAGCAUUCUAUAAUUAUCACAAUCAAAAUUCUUAAAGUAUUUGGAAAAGUUCCACAUAUCCUUGUACUAUUAUUUUUUGUCACAACCAAAUUUCUAAACUCCUCUUUUCUGGUUAAAAAUCCACUUUAUUAUCUGGUAGAAAGUGACUUGAACUUGAGUGUAACGAUAUGAUCACUCGUUUUGAGUUUUAGCAUGUUUUCCAGCGAUUUGAGAUCAUGAGCAGAUUCAUUUCAGGUAUUAUGACUUGUACGCAUGGCCGG
rnacentral:lncRNA from 1 species